rnacentral:rRNA from 1 species
UACGUAGGCAGCAAGCGUUGUUCGGAAUUACUGGGCGUAAAGAGUGUGUAGGCGGUGUUCUAAGUUUGUCGUGAAAUCUCCCGGCUUAACUGGGAGGGUGCGGCGAAAACUGGAAUGCUAGAGGAUGGGAGAGGUAUGCGGAAUUCCAGGUGCAGCGGUGAAAUGCGUAGAUAUCUGGAGGAACACCGGUGGCGAAGGCGGGUCUCUGGGCCGAUACUGACGCUGAGGAGCGAAAGCGUGGGGAGCGAACAGG